CCUGGUUUUGGCUGGGAUAGUUAAUUUUCUUUCUAGCAGCUGGUAUAGUGUUAUGUUUUGGAUUCAGUAUGAGAAGAAUGUUGAUAACACACUGAUGUUUUCAGUUGUUGCUCAGUAGUGUUUAUACCAAGUCAAGGAUUUUUCAGCUUCUCCUGCCCAGCCAGCAAGAGGGCUGGAGGGGCACAAGAAGUUGGGAGGGGACACAGCCAGGGCAGCUGACCCAAACUGGCCAACAGGGUCCAUACCAUGUGAUGUCAUGCCCAGUAUAUAAACUGGGGGGAGCUGGCCUGGGGGUGCAGAUCGCUGCUCGGGAACUAACUGGGCAUCGGUCGUUCUGCAUUGCAGCCAAGGAGAGCAUUUAAUGAAACUAAACUGAAUUCUGACUGUAUUGAGUCACUCGCCAGAUUAGACCCCAGGGCAAGGACAUUGUCUCUUGUACAAUGAUAGGAUACACCUGGAGGUGAUCACAACCCCCUUAAUGUGCCAGAGCAGGGAAGUGGAAUUGAACUGGGAGUAGAUGAGUGAAUGGAGAAUAGAAACUCAUCAAAUACUGUGAUGUUGUAAUGGACAGGAG